AUUUAAUUCAAUAGGUCGUUUUUCAGUAGUCUUAAUCCAUCAAUCCCAAAUUUCAUAUCUAUACGUUAAUGCAGAAUUGAGAGGCAAUGUCUCUUUCCAUUUUGCAAUGGGUUUGAAUUGCCUCCUUAACUUGCUGCCAGUUAUCUAUUGUUGUUUUUCUCCAAUUCCUAGCAAUAGAGAUCUUAAAGGCCAUCAAUGCAUGAAUCAGGAGGUAUUUAUUCUCUUUUGAUGUU